GAUGAACGCUGGCGGCGUGCCUAAUACAUGCAAGUCGAGCGAACGGACGAGAAGCUUGCUUCUCUGAUGUUAGCGGCGGACGGGUGAGUAACACGUGGAUAACCUACCUAUAAGACUGGGAUAACUUCGGGAAACCGGAGCUAAUACCGGAUAAUAUUUUGAACCGCAUGGUUCAAAAGUGAAAGACGGUCUUGCUGUCACUUAUAGAUGGAUCCGCGCUGCAUUAGCUAGUUGGUAAGGUAACGGCUUACCAAGGCAACGAUGCAUAGCCGACCUGAGAGGGGGAUCGGCAACACUGGAACUGAGACACGGUCCAGACUCCUACGGGAGGCAGCAGUAGGGAAUCUUCCGCAAUGGGCGAAAGCCUGACGGAGCAACGCCGCGUGAGUGAUGAAGGUCUUCGGAUCGUAAAACUCUGUUAUUAGGGAAGAACAUAUGUGUAAGUAACUGUGCACAUCUUGACGGUACCUAAUCAGAAAGCCACGGCUAACUACGUG
rnacentral:rRNA from 1 species